AGUCACUGACAUUAGAUACCCCGGUAGUCCAGGGUGUAAACGCUGCAGACUUGGUGUUGGGGGCCCUUUGGGGGCAUUCAGUGCCGGAGAGAAGUUGUUAAGUCUGCUACUUGGGGAGUACGUCCGCAAGGAUGAAACUUAAAGGAAUUGGCGGGGAGCACCGCAACGGGAGGAGCGUGCGGUUUAAUUGGAUUCAACACCGUAAAACUCACCAGGGAAGACUGUUACAUGAAGGCCGAGAUGAAGACUCUGCUAGAUUUUCAG
rnacentral:rRNA from 1 species